AGUAUGAUUACAAUUUGUACUUUAUUUCUCAUUUCUUUUUUAAUUUUUUGUUUUAAAAAAGGGGUAUAAUGGUCAUUUUACGUUCUAAAACAGUGAAAAUGAUUUUUAGCGCAACGAAAUAUUGAAAUAAGGGCAAAAAUAUCAAAAAAUAAAAGGUAAGGACGUUUCCAACAAUAACUUCAAAAGGUAGUAGGAACGUUUUGCGCCAAUUACCCUUCUCCAUUUCUCCAAGCCACCUUCAAUACCUUCUCAGUCUUUACUCCAUUCUCCACACAGCCAUCCACCUUGUACAAGACCUCUCCUUCUAUCUUCUUCUUAUUUUUUUGUUUCUUUUCUUUUUUAAUCACGUCUCUUUUCUAUUUCUUGUUAUGGUUUUGAUGACUGCGGAAGGCUCGACUUCGAUUUUCGGCUCUGGCUUUACCACUACGAUGGCGGAUUCCAAGCCAUAUGUCUCUUAAGCUCCCAUCCCAUGACCAUCUUCCUCAAAGAGAUGUUUUAGAUCAGUGGGGAAAGAAGACUGUCGAGGCUACAUAGAAGGUUGAGGACUUGGCUGGAAACACGUGGCAACAUUUCUUCUCCAUUUCUCCAAGCCAUUUCUAGAGAAUGAUUGAUACAAGGUUUUUUGGUGUAUUUGCUUUGAAAAGGAAAGAUGGAACUAAUGUUGCAAAGUGAGUUCACUAUUCUGCACAGCAAAGAUGGAAGCUUUUUAUGAUGACAAUGGACCAUCUACUAGAUGCACAACUUGCGUUGUAAUCAUCCCAAAUGAUCAAUUUGUUGCAAAUGCUUGAGACACCAUUGUGUUCUCUCUCGGAGAGUUUUAUACUUCCCAAGGGGUAAUAUUAACUUUCAUUAUUUAGGAAUACUCUUGGUUAUUUCUUCCAGAAUGGUUUCAAUACCCAUAAUUUUGUGUUGCAUGAAAUUAGUGAUUUACUCAUAAACUUAUUUAGAUGUAAGGGAGGUUUUGAUUAGGUGUCAUGAAUUUAUUGUUAAUUAUUUAAGUCCAUAAGUGACCAGGAAAUGCUAUCCACAUAGAAGGUUUUCUUGCUAUGUGUUUCUCUUUUGAACCUUUUGUUCACGUGUUUAAACGAGAUAUUCGUUACAUUGGCUCUUC